ensembl:lncRNA
CCUCUUGGUGGUGCCAUGUGCAGAGGUCACGCGCAGAUUCCCUGCUUUUGCUCCCGGCACUUCAGAAGUGGAAGUUGCUGUUUGGGCCUUUUUGUAUCUUCUUGUUCAUAAUUUGCCCCCAGCCAUACAUGCACACAGUCACUUUUUGUCCUUUAUAGUUUCUUUUAUUUUGUUACCGGAGGAGACAUUUGUCCAGAGAAUGAAGAUUUGUUUCGCACACUGCUGGGGACCCACUGAGUUCUACCAUCCUCUCCAUGUUGGCUUCAUAUGUAUCUUCCACAAAUGACUGCGUCUGUGAAGCUGUGUGAGAUGACUGCAAGCAGCCCCAGCAUGAAGCUCACCACCCUGGAAUUGUGCUCCUCAACGAGAGGAGUGGGAGGGGGUGUACCCCCUAGAAAGCAUCUUGGAAAUUUGUGGGGAUAGUUGGGGUUGUCACGGUGAUGGUGGGGAGCUACUGUUUGAAUUUCAUGCUAGACAUCCUACGGACCAUGGGGCACUCCUAUACAAAGAAGAGUUCUUAUGUUCUAUGCCAGUUUCUAAUGUCCCACUGGACAUUCAUGUAGGUAGAGAGCCUAUUUGUAAUGAACUGAGCCUAGACUUAACCCCGUUUUAUAUAUAAAGCCGUUUGCACAGUCAUCUUUAAUUGAGUAUACAUAACAUAAUGACAUAACUUUAGUGUCAGGCAUACAGUAUAAUGUUUCAAUACCUAUAUACAUUGUGAAACGGUCACCACAAUGUCUAAUUAAGUUCUAUCACCACACUGAGUUACAUAUUUUUUUCCUUGUAAUGAGAACUUUUAAGAUCUAUGCUCUUAGCCACUUUCAAGUAUACAAUAUAGUAUUAUUAACUAUAGUCACCAUUGUAUUAUAUUCCUAUGAUUUAUUUUAUAACUGGAAGAUUUUAUCUUUUGAUCUCUUUCACCCAUUUUGUCCACUGUCCAACCCCUACCUCUGACAACCACCACCUGCUCUGUAUCUAUGCACUUGCUGUGCUGCGCUUAGUUGCUCAGUCGGGUCCUACUCCUUGCAACCCCAUGGACUAUAGCCCGCCAACCUCCUCUG